AACGAACGCUGGCGGCAUGCCUAACACAUGCAAGUCGAACGAGACCUUCGGGUCUAGUGGCGCACGGGUGCGUAACGCGAGGGAACCUGCACUUAGGUUCGGAAUAACUCCCCGAAAGGGGUGCUAAUACCGGAUAAUGUCUUCGGACCAAAGAUUUAUCGCCUUUGGAUGGGCCCUCGUUGGAUUAGCUCGUUGGGAGGGUAAAAGACUACCAAGGCGACGAUCCAUAGCUGGUCUGAGAGGAUGAUCAGCCACACCUGGACUGAGACACGGCCCAGACUCCUACGGGAGGCAGCAGUGGGGAAUAUUGGACAAUGGGCGAAAGCCUGAUCCAGCACUGCCGCGUGAGUGAUGAAGGCCUUAGGGUUGUAAAGCUCUUUUAACCGGGAUGAUAAUGACAGUACCGGGAGAAUAAGCCCCGGCUAACUACGUG
rnacentral:rRNA from 1 species